rnacentral:rRNA from 1 species
AGAGUUUGAUCAUGGCUCAGAUUGAACGCUGGCGGAAUGCUUACACAUGCAAGUCGAACGGCAGCACGGGGCAACCUGGUGGCGAGUGGCGAACGGGUGAGUAAUACAUCGGAACGUGCCCAAUCGUGGGGGAUAACGUAGCGAAAGUUACGCUAAUACCGCAUACGAUCUACGGAUGAAAGCGGGGGAUCGCAAGACCUCGCGCGAAUGGAGCGGCCGAUGUCAGAUUAGGUAGUUGGUGGGGUAAAGGCUCACCAAGCCAACGAUCUGUAGCUGGUCUGAGAGGACGACCAGCCACACUGGAACUGAGACACGGUCCAGACUCCUACGGGAGGCAGCAGUGGGAAUUUUGGACAAUGGGCGCAAGCCUGAUCCAGCCAUUCCGCGUGCAGGAUGAAGGCCUUCGGGUUGUAAACUGCUUUUGUACGGAACGAAACGGUCUGCCCUAAUACGGUGGGCUAAUGACGGUACCGUAAGAAUAAGCACCGGCUAACUACGUG